GCCUUGGUAGCUCAGUUGGUAGAGCGCUCGACUGUUAAUCGAGUGGUCGCAGGUUCAAGUCCUGUCCAAGGCGC
rnacentral:tRNA from 1 species